UACGGAGGGGGCUAGCGUUGUUCGGAAUUACUGGGCUUAAAGCGCACGUAGGCGGCUUUGUAAGUUAGAGGUGAAAGCCUGGAGCUCAACUCCAAAAUUGCCUUUAAGACUACAUCGCUUGAAUCUAGGAGAGGUGAGUGGAAUUCCGAGUGUAGAGGUGAAAUUCGUAGAUAUUCGGAAGAACACCAGUGGCGAAGGCGGCUCACUGGACUGGUAUUGACGCUGAGGUGCGAAAGCGUGGGGAGCAAACAGG
rnacentral:rRNA from 1 species